rnacentral:rRNA from 1 species
CCUACGGGAGGCAGCAGUGAGGAAUAUUGGUCAAUGGUCGUAAGCCUGAACCAGCCAAGUCGCGUGAGGGAUGAAGGUUCUAUGGAUCGUAAACCUCUUUUGUAAGGGAAUAAAGAGUGGGACGUGUCCUCGUUUGUAUGUACCUUAUGAAUAAGGAUCGGCUAACUCCGUGCCAGCAGCCUCGGUAAUACGGAGGAUCCGAGCGUUAUCCGGAUUUAUUGGGUUUAAAGGGUGCGCAGGCGGACGCACAAGUCAGCGGUAAAAUCUCGGGGCUCAACCCCGCUCCGCCGUUGAAACUGUGUAUCUUGAGUGCGAGAAGAGUAGGCGGAAUGCGUGGUGUAGCGGUGAGAUGCAUAGAUAUCACGCAGAACUCCGAUCGCGAAGGCAGCAUACCGGCGCGCAACUGACGCUCAUGCACGAAAGCGUGGGUAUCGAACAGGAUUAGAUACCCUUGUAGUC